rnacentral:lncRNA from 1 species
AGAAAAAGUUAUAAUUCCCGUCAAAAAUUGAUAAUAAGAUUAUUUCCACUGUAGCGGAUUUAAAACAUCGGUGACCCCCCUUUUUUAUUAAUGCUUUUAAAAUCUCCCAUGAAGCUGCAACUAAUGCAGAAGUUUGAAGGAAAAAACAUUAGUAGAUUUUUUUUAUUUCAAGAAAAAUCUAUAAUAAACGGCAAUUAAAAAUGGCGGG